rnacentral:tRNA from 1 species
GGUGGCUCAGUGGUAGAGUGCUUGCCUUACAUGCAUGAAGCCCUAGGUUCGAUUCCUCAGCACCA